UACAGAGGGUGCGAGCGUUAAUCGGAAUUACUGGGCGUAAAGCGCACGUAGUCGGCUUUGCAAGUCGGGUGUGAAAUCCCCGGGCUCAACCUGGGAACUGCAUCCGAGACUGCAUUGCUAGAGUAUGGGAGAGGGAAGCGGAAUUUCUGGUGUAGCAGUGAAAUGCGUAGAUAUCGUAAGGAAGACCAGUGGCGAAGGCGGAUCUCUGGACAGUUACUGACACUGAGGCACGAAGGCCAGGGGAGCAAACGGG
rnacentral:rRNA from 1 species